rnacentral:siRNA from 1 species
AUGGUUGUGGUGCUCGUAGCCUGC